AGACUAGUUCAGUAAUCAUCACAAAUCACGGAGGGAAGCAGGAACCUGUUCAUCAUGUUCACUUGUGUACUUAUAUUGCUGACUUUAACUCAAGGUAACAGAGCUAAAGAUGCCAUCACUCCAUACAGUGAUGCAACAUUUGCCACUGAGACUGAGAGUGUUAAACUUUCUUGUAACUACACUGGUUCUGUUGACAGUCUUCACUGGUAUCGACAAUAUGCAGGUUCACCACCACAAUUCCUCAUACUGGACUACUAUGGAACAAAGACUCAAGCUGAUCCUCCAGUUUCUGGAAUAUCCAUUAGCCACAGAAAAGAAGCCAGCAGUGUGGAUCUGGAGAUCUCCUCUGCUAAAGUGACAGACUCUGCUCUGUAUUACUGUGCUCUGCAGCCCACAGUCACAGGAAACACUCAACACACCAUACAAAAACCUGAAAAACUUAAAGCAAAAAUUUGUAAUGAUGUCUAGCCAUCUAUAGAAUAUAUAAUUGAGCUAUUGAAUAACUAUUUGAUUAUUAAUUUACUGUGAGCUUUGUAUUCAAAAAUACAGAUGUACAAUGUUGAUUAAACCCAUUGGUAAUGUUUAUGAAUUUUAAAUUGAAAUGAUUAGACAAGAUGAAUUUAAAAUUGUUAGUCAGUAAAGUCACACUUUAUUCUGAAACAAACUGUCAUGCUUUUCUUUCACUGUCUUCUUGAAAUGAAUUGUUUUCCCAUGAAAGGCAAUAUAGUGUAAACCUGGGAAAACAUUUCUGUUUUGUGACAACAAAGGUUACCAUAAAUUCAUGUUCACUAUUUAG